CUUGGUCAUUUAGAGGAAGUAAAAGUCGUAACAAGGUUUCCGUAGGUGAACCUGCGGAAGGAUCAUUAGUGAAUUUAGAGCGUAACUUCGGUUAGCUCAACCUUCAUUUUCCAACUCUGUGCACUAUUGGCGGACUGAGAGUAAGCAAUUGCUAUUCAGUCUGCGGCUCACUAUUAAACAUUAGUUAAAGUAUGUAAACAAAAACAAAACAAAAAAAACUUUCAACAACGGAUCUCUUGGCUCUCGCAUCGAUGAAGAACGCAGCGAAAUGUGAUAAGUAAUGUGAAUUGCAGAAUUCAGUGAAUCAUCGAAUCUUUGAACGCACCUUGCGCUCUCUGGUAUUCCGGAGAGCAUGUCUGUUUGAGUGUCAUGAACUCUUCAACCUACCGGUUUCUAGUAAAUCGGAUUAGUGUUUGGAUUCUGAACGCCUGCUGGCCUUUAUUGGCGAAGCUCGUUCGUAAAUGAUUAGCAUCUCAUAUUCGAAAAUCGGAUUGACUCAGUGUAAUAGACUAUUCGCUGAGGACGCUCUUUCGGGAGUGGCCGAGUUUUGUAAAGUAGAAGCUUCUAAUUCUAUUAGUCAACUUUAGAUUAGACCUCAGAUCAGGCAGGAUUACCCGCUGAACUUAAGCAUAUCAAUAAGCGGAGGA
rnacentral:rRNA from 1 species